UUUCUCCGUGUAUGCUACUAUUUUUGAACAGUUCGGCAAACAGUUGCACGCAUUGGUAUUUGUCAGACAAGUUUCGUCAAUUUGAGAGGCACGCUUAAAAAUUUACACACGUGAUAUUUAACUUUUUCGCAAUUAUUGAUUAAAGGCUAUUUCAUGGAUUCACACAUUUCGACAAAAAAUGUGGAACAACGCAUUUUAUAUGAUAUUCCUAUGUUUGUUACAUAUGAUUUUAAUCAGAAGAGCGAAAUAAUUUAUAUAUUUUUUUAAGCCAAGUAAAACUGACUGCGCUAUUGAGAAAAUUGUUUUUAGCGUGCAUUUCAUUUUUUGUUUUUCUAGAAACCGAAGUGAAAAAAAAAAUACGACAUCAAUCCAGCAGUGCGAAAAUCUCAGUGUCUGUGCUCUACAUAUUGGAAUCCAUUGGUGAAUGCAGUUAUUUUACAUUGACACAGCGCAUGAAUGAGAAGCAACAACAAUCAACCAGUUCCCGGGCAGCUGCCGACAAAAUAUGUAUUACGCAAUAUUAGCGAAAAAGGACCAGACCCAAGCCAGAACCAGGGAAAUAAGCCAAAUUCAACGAAUACGAUGUUUUGUGGGGGCAUAUUCAUCUUUGGGACCUACAACAUCACAUUGCGCAGUGCGCCGAGGUUAUCAAUAUAAAAGUGACAAUUAGUGCAAGUCAAGCGUGUGUUAGAAUAAGGGCGUAAAUAACAUGUUCGAUUUCUCUUCAUCGAUCCUCUCUUCGGCUAAUAAAGAUGAUAAGAUGUAAGUUUGUUGGCAUUCACCUCAAAAUGCAAGAUUACAUCGUUGCUUAGCGUCUCCAAGUGAAAAACUGUCAACAAACUUAUAUCUUGUCACCUUUAUUCGUCGAAAAAAGGAUCUAUGAAGUGAAAUCGAUUAUGUUACGUAUGCCCUUAUUCUAACAAACACUUGAAAUAAUUUUAAAAGUUGGUUUUAGAAAUUUAAUGAAAUG
rnacentral:lncRNA from 1 species